rnacentral:lncRNA from 1 species
UUUACAAAGAUAAGAAUUAAAACUUGGUUAACUCGGACUUAGAUUGAAAGGAUAAGGCCGCAGAUCAGUUUGGGCAGCCACAGAUGGCCUGUGUGUGCUGACGGACACACACGGACGUCCUGUGUUUGCUGACGGACACCCACAGACGUCCUGUGUGUACUAAACAAACAGCCCACGGGACAUCACACACAACCCUUGGUAACUCGUGACCUUUGGCCACUCGUGCCUCUUGGGACAUGACCAACCAUUUUGCCCAACAGCCCAGUCUAUGUUGCAAUUCGAACCGACCAUCUAACCGACCAGCAUCU